rnacentral:SRP_RNA from 1 species
GCCAGGCGUAGUGGCAUGCGCCUGUAAUCCCAGCUACUGAGGAGGCUGAGACAGGAGAAUCGCUUGAACCCAGGAGGCGGAGGUUGUUGCAGUGAGCCAAGAUGGCACCACUGCACUUUAGCCUGGGUGACAGAGUGAGACUCUGUCUCAA